rnacentral:rRNA from 1 species
CUACGGGAGGCAGCAGUGGGGAAUUUUCCGCAAUGGGCGAAAGCCUGACGGAGCAAUACCGCGUGAGGGACNGACGGCUUUUGGGUUGUAAACCUCUUUUCCCUGGGAAGAAGAUCUGACGGUACCAGGGGAAUCAGCAUCGGCUAACUUCGUGCCAGCAGCCGCGGUAAUACGAGGGAUGCAAGCGUUAUCCGGAAUUAUUGGGCGUAAAGCGUCCGCAGGUGGCUCUGUAAGUCUGUCGUUAAAGCGUGGAGCUUAACUCCAUAUCGGCGAUGGAAACUACAAGGCUAGAGUUUGGUAGGGGUCACGGGAAUUCUUAGUGUAGCGGUGAAAUGCGUAGAUAUUAAGAAGAACACCAGCGGCGAAAGCGCGUGACUGGGC